UUCCGGUUGAUCCCGCCGGAGGCCAUUGCUAUCGGGGUCCGAUUUAGCCAUGCUAGUCGCACGGGUUCAGACCCGUGGCGAACAGCUCAGUAACACGUGGCCAAGCUACCCUGUGGACACGGACAACCUCGGGAAACUGAGGCUAAUCCGUGAUAUCGCUCUCAGGCUGGAGUGCCGGGAGCGUGAAACGUUCCGGCGCCACAGGAUGCGGCUGCGGCCGAUUAGGUAGACGGUGGGGUAACGGCCCACCGUGCCGAUAAUCGGUACGGGUGGUGAGAGCCAGAGCCCGGAGAUGGAAUCUGAGACAAGAUUCCAGGCCCUACGGGGCGCAGCAGGCGCGAAACCUUUACACUGCACGACAGUGCGAUAGGGGGACCCCGAGUGCGAGGGCAUACAGUCCUCGCUUUUGUGUACCGUAAGGAGGUACACGAAUAGGGGCUGGGCAAGACCGGUGCCAGCCGCCGCGGUAAUACCGGCAGCUCGAGUGAUGGCCGCUGUUAUUGGGCCUAAAGCGUCCGUAGCCGGCCGCACAAGUCCGUCGGGAAAUCCACCCGCCUAACGGGUGGGCGUCCGGCGGAAACUGUGCGGCUUGGGGCCGGAAGAUCCGAGGGGUACGUCCGGGGUAGGAGUGAAAUCCCGUAAUCCUGGACGGACCGCCGGUGGCGAAAGCGCCUCGGAAGGACGGACCCGACGGUGAGGGACGAAAGCUAGGGUCUCGAACCGGAUUAGAUACCCGGGUAGUCCUAGCUGUAAACGAUGCUCGCUAGGUGUGGCGCAGGCUACGAGCCUGCGCUGUGCCGUAGGGAAGCCGUGAAGCGAGCCGCCUGGGAAGUACGUCCGCAAGGAUGAAACUUAAAGGAAUUGGCGGGGGGAGCACUACAACCGGGAGGAGCCUGCGGUUUAAUUGGAUUCAACGCCGGG
rnacentral:rRNA from 1 species